GAUGAAGAACGCAGCGAAAUGCGAUACGUAGUGUGAAUUGCAGAAUUCAGUGAAUCAUCGAAUCUUUGAACGCACAUUGCACCUCUCGGUAUUCCGGGAGGUAUGCCUGUUCGAGCGUCAUUUGUACCCUCAAGCUCUGCUUGGUGUGGGUGUUUGUUCCGCCUCUGUGUGUGAACUCGCCUCAAAACAAUUGGCAGCCGGCGUACUUGUUUCGGAGCGCAGCACAUUUUGCGAUCCAGAUCAACGUACAGCGGCAUCCAAGAAGCCUUAUUUAACGCUCUUGACCUCGGAUCAGGUAGGGAUACCCGCUGAACUUAAGCAUAUCAAUAAGCGGAGGA
rnacentral:misc_RNA from 1 species